UACAGAGGUCUCAAGCGUUGUUCGGAUUCAUUGGGCGUAAAGGGUGUGUAGGUGGCGCGCUAAGUCGGGUGUGAAAUUUCGGAGCUUAACUCCGAAACUGCAUUCGAUACUGGCGUGCUUGAGGACUGGAGAGGAGACUGGAAUUUACGGUGUAGCAGUGAAAUGCGUAGAUAUCGUAAGGAAGACCAGUGGCGAAGGCGGGUCUCUGGACAGUUCCUGACACUGAGACACGAAGGACAGGGGAGCAAACGGG
rnacentral:rRNA from 1 species